UACGUAGGGUGCAAGCGUUGUCCGGAAUUAUUGGGCGUAAAGAGCUCGUAGGCGGUUUGUCGCGUCGAAUGUGAAAACCCGGGGCUCAACCCCGGGCCUGCAUUCGAUACGGGCAGACUAGAGUUCGGUAGGGGAGUCUGGAAUUCCUGGUGUAGCGGUGAAAUGCGCAGAUAUCAGGAGGAACACCGGUGGCGAAGGCGGCCAUCUGGACGGAUACUGACGCUGAGACGCGAAAGCGUGGGUAGCAAACAGG
rnacentral:rRNA from 1 species